rnacentral:rRNA from 1 species
UUCCGGUUGAUCCUGCGGACCUCACUGCUAUCGGGGUGGGACUAAGACAUGCAAGUCGUACGCCUCCCAGCCGCCGGGGGAGGCGUGGCGCACGGCUCCGUAACACGUGGCUAACCUACCCUUGGGACGGGGAUAACCCCGGGAAACUGGGGCUAAUCCCCGAUAGGCGAGGAUGCCUGGAAUGGUUCCUCGCCGAAAGGGCACCGGAACCGUGCUUCCGGUGUCGCCCAAGGAUGGGGCUGCGGCCCAUCAUGGUUGUUGGUGGGGUAACGGCCCACCAAGCCUAUAACGGGUACGGGCCCUGGGAGGGGGAGCCCGGAGAUGGGCUCUGAGACAAGAGCCCAGGCCCUACGGGGCGCAGCAGGCGCGAAACCUCCCCAAUGCCCGAAAGGGUGAGGGGGUCACCCCGAGUGCCACCCUCGUGGUGGCUUUUGCCGGGUCUAAAAAGCCCGGCGAAUAAGGGGAGGGCAAGACGGGUGUCAGCCGCCGCGGUAAUACCCGCUCCCCGAGUGGUGGGGACUAUUACUGGGCUUAAAGCGCCCGUAGCCGGCCGGGUGUGUCCUCCGUUAAAUCCACGGGCCUAACCCGUGGGCUGCGGAGGAUACUACCCGGCUUGGGGGUGGGAGAGGGCGGCGGUAUUCCCGGGGUAGGGGUAAAAUCCUCUGAUCCCGGGAGGACCACCAGUGGCGAAGGCGGCCGUCCAGAACACGCCCGACGGUGAGGGGCGAAAGCUGGGGGAGCAAACGGGAUCAGAUACCCCGGUAGUCCCAGCCGUAAACGAUGCGGGCUAGGUGUCGGGUGGGCUACGGGCUCACCCGGUGCCGAAGGGAAACCAUUAAGCCCGCCGCCUGGGGAGUACGGCCGCAAGGCUGAAACUUAAAGGAAUUGGCGGGGGAGCACCACAAGGGGUGAAGCUUGCGGUUUAAUUGGAUCAACGCCGGAAAU